rnacentral:lncRNA from 1 species
CAUCUCUCCCUAAAAACCACAGAGAGAAGAAAAAUGUUUUCUUCUCUCUUUAGGAAACAAAAAGAGUAAGAAUAUAAUUCUUCUAAAGAAAAAAAAAGUUCAUCUCUUGAAGUUAUUCCUAGUUUUCUCUAUGAAACGAAACUUAAGGCUCUUAUGCUGUGAGAAAUGAAUGAUUCUCAUAUCCAUAGUUUCAUUCAUGACUUGAGGCAAGAAAAUUGGCUAGUGAAAUAACCAAUCUAGAUCUUGGGCAUUUUAGAAGGUAAUCGAAAAUCUUAUUGUUCAUCAUUGGUAUCAGAGCCCUAUUAGGUUGUUUU